rnacentral:rRNA from 1 species
AUACAUGCAAGUCGAACGCUUUGUGGUUCAACUGAUUUGAAGAGCUUGCUCAGAUAUGACGAUGGACAUUGCAAAGAGUGGCGAACGGGUGAGUAACACGUGGGAAACCUACCUCUUAGCAGGGGAUAACAUUUGGAAACAGAUGCUAAUACCGUAUAACAAUGACAACCGCAUGGUUGUUAUUUAAAAGAUGGUUCUGCUAUCACUAAGAGAUGGUCCCGCGGUGCAUUAGCUAGUUGGUAAGGUAAUGGCUUACCAAGGCGAUGAUGCAUAGCCGAGUUGAGAGACUGAUCGGCCACAAUGGGACUGAGACACGGCCCAUACUCCUACGGGAGGCAGCAGUAGGGAAUCUUCCACAAUGGGCGAAAGCCUGAUGGAGCAACGCCGCGUGUGUGAUGAAGGGUUUCGGCUCGUAAAACACUGUUGUAAGAGAAGAAUGACAUUGAGAGUAACUGUUCAAUGUGUGACGGUAUCUUACCAGAAAGGAACGGCUAAAUACGUGCCAGCAGCCGCGGUAAUACGUAUGUUCCAAGCGUUAUCCGGAUUUAUUGGGCGUAAAGCGAGCGCAGACGGUUAUUUAAGUCUGAAGUGAAAGCCCUCAGCUCAACUGAGGAAUUGCUUUGGAAACUGGAUGACUUGAGUGCAGUAGAGGAAAGUGGAACUCCAUGUGUAGCGGUGAAAUGCGUAGAUAUAUGGAAGAACACCAGUGGCGAAGGCGGCUUUCUGGACUGUAACUGACGUUGAGGCUCGAAAGUGUGGGUAGCAAACAGGAUUAGAUACCCUGGUAGUCCACACCGUAAACGAUGAGUGCUAGGUGUUUGAGGGUUUCCGCCCUUAAGUGCCGCAGCUAACGCAUUAAGCACUCCGCCUGGGGAGUACGACCGCAAGGUUGAAACUCAAAGGAAUUGACGGGGACCCGCACAAGCGGUGGAGCAUGUGGUUUAAUUCGAAGCAACGCGAAGAACCUUACCAGGUCUUGACAUCCCUUGACAACUCCAGAGAUGGAGUGUUCCCUUCGGGGACAAGGUGACAGGUGGUGCAUGGUUGUCGUCAGCUCGUGUCGUGAGAUGUUGGGUUAAGUCCCGCAACGAGCGCAACCCUUAUUACUAGUUGCCAGCAUUCAGUUGGGCACUCUAGUGAGACUGCCGGUGACAAACCGGAGGAAGGUGGGGAUGACGUCAAAUCAUCAUGCCCCUUAUGACCUGGGCUACACACGUGCUACAAUGGCGUAUACAACGAGUUGCCAACCCGCGAGGGUGAGCUAAUCUCUUAAAGUACGUCUCAGUUCGGAUUGUAGGCUGCAACUCGCCUACAUGAAGUCGGAAUCGCUAGUAAUCGCGGAUCAGCACGCCGCGGUGAAUACGUUCCCGGGUCUUGUACACACCGCCCGUCACACCAUGAGAGUUUGUAACACCCAAAGCCGGUGGGGUAACCUUCGGGAGCCAGCCGUCUAAGGUGGGACAGAUGAUUAGGGUGAAGU